UUACCAGGUCAAGACAUGGGCGUGAUUGACAGGCUAAUGACUUUUCUCGAUUCCAUGGAUGGUGGUGCAUGGUCGCACUUAGUUGGUGCAGUGAUUUGUCAGGUUUAUUCCGGUAACGAACGAGACCUCGGCCUUGUAAAUAGCUAUGCUGCUUACAGGGACAUUGGCGGCUACGCCAAGGAAGCUCGAGGCAAUUGCAGAUCUGGAAUGCCCUUAGAUGUCCUGGGUCGCACGCGUGCUACAAUGACGCCACGAACGAGCUUGCGUGAUGAAAGUUACGCAUAAUCAGCAGUCGGCGUCUUAAGGGAUAGUCUCUUGUAACUGUGGGACUCCAACUAGGAAUGUCUCGUAAGCACAAGUCAACAUCUUGUGUUGAUUACGUCCCUGCUCUUUGUACACACCGCCCGUCGCUCCUACCGAUCGAGUGUUUAGGUGAAUUUGAUGGACGUAAGGAAGUCAAAUAAACCUGAGCACCUAGAGGAAGGAGAAGUCGAACAUUC
rnacentral:rRNA from 1 species